GGUGGGCGUAGUUCAGUUGGUUAGAGCGUCAGAUUGUGGUUCUGAAUGUCGUGGGUUCGAGUCCCACCUCCCACCC
rnacentral:tRNA from 2 species